UACGUAGGGUGCAAGCGUUGUCCGGAAUUAUUGGGCGUAAAGAGCUCGUAGGCGGCUUGUCACGUCGGCUGUGAAAACCCGGGGCUCAACCCCGGGCCUGCAGUCGAUACGGGCAAGCUAGAGUUCGGCAGGGGAGACUGGAAUUCCUGGUGUAGCGGUGAAAUGCGCAGAUAUCAGGAGGAACACCGGUGGCGAAGGCGGGUCUCUGGACAGUUCCUGACACUGAGACACGAAGGCCAGGGGAGCAAACGGG
rnacentral:rRNA from 1 species